GCUCCUCAGAGAAGUUUUGGAAUCAUUACAAGUUGUGUCAAGACAGAUAUCAUGAUGGAGAGCAUGCUGGAGUAUGCAGUGAUACUCUUGUGGCUUCAGCUUGGCUGGUUGAGUGGAGAAGACCAGGUGGAGCAAAGUCCUCAGACCCUGAGGAUCCAGGAACGAGAGAGUGUCAGCCUCAAAUGCAGUUACACAGUCAGCGCUUUCAGAGCACUGCAGUGGUACAGGCAAGAUCCUGGGAAAGGCCCCAAAUUCCUCUUCAACCUGUAUUCAGUUGGGAAAGAACAGCAGAAUGAGAGACUAACGGCUAUGCUUUCAGAGAAGGGGAGUUCUCUGCACAUCAACACCCCUAAAGCUGAAGACUCAGCCACUUACCUCUGUGCUGUGGAGGCACAGUGCUCCCCAGGCACCUGCACCCUCUACCAAAACCCUGCAGCUGAGCCUCUGGAAUAA